UACGAAGGGGGCUAGCGUUGCUCGGAAUCACUGGGCGUAAAGGGUGCGUAGGCGGGUCUUUAAGUCAGGGGUGAAAUCCUGGAGCUCAACUCCAGAACUGCCUUUGAUACUGAGGAUCUUUGAGUCCGGGAGAGGUGAGUGGAACUGCGAGUGUAGAGGUGAAAUUCGUAGAUAUUCGCAAGAACACCAAUGGCGAAGGCAGCUCGCUGGGACGGUACUGACGCUGAGACGCGAAAGCGUGGGGAGCAAACAGG
rnacentral:rRNA from 1 species